rnacentral:rRNA from 1 species
GACAGAGGUGCCAAGCGUUAGGCGGAAUCACUGGGCUUAAAGCGUGUGUAGGCGGAAUUGUAAGUACCUUGUGAAAUCCCACGGCUCAACCGUGGAACUGCUUGGUAUACUGCUUUUCUUGAGCCACUUAGGGGCUACCGGAACAAAUGGUGGAGCGGUGAAAUGCGUAGAUAUCAUUUGGAACGCCAAUGGUGAAAAACAGGUAGCUGGGAGUGUGCUGACGCUGAGACACGAAAGCCAGGGGAGCGAACGGG